AUUGAACGCUGGCGGAAUGCUUUACACAUGCAAGUCGAACGGCAGCACGGGGGCAACCCUGGUGGCGAGUGGCGAACGGGUGAGUAAUACAUCGGAACGUGCCCAGUCGUGGGGGAUAACGUAGCGAAAGUUACGCUAAUCCCGCAUACGAACUACGGAUGAAAGCGGGGGCACGUAAGCACUAGCGCGAGUGGACCGGCCGGUGUCAGAUUAGGUAGUUGGUGAGGUAAAGGCUCACCAAGCCGAAGAUCUGUAGCUGGUCUGAGAGGACGACCAGCCACACUGGGACUGAGACACGGCCCAGACUCCUACGGGAGGCAGCAGUGGGGAAUUUUGGACAAUGGGCGCAAGCCUGAUCCAGCCAUUCCGCGUGCAGGACGAAGGCCUUCGGGUUGUAAACUGCUUUUGUACGGAACGAAAAGGCUCUGGUUAAUACCUGGGGCUCAUGACGGUACCGUAAGAAUAAGCACCGGCUAACUACGUGCCAGCAGCCGCGGUAA
rnacentral:rRNA from 1 species